ensembl:misc_RNA Metazoa_SRP Metazoan signal recognition particle RNA
GCCAGGCAUGGUGGCACAUGCCUGUAGUCCCAGCUACUCAGGAGGCUGAGGUGGGAGGAUCGCUUGAGCCCAGGAAGUCAAGGCUGCAGUGAGCUGAGAUUGCGCCACUGCACUCCAGCCUGGGCGACAGAGUGAGACCCUGUCUCAA